rnacentral:rRNA from 1 species
AACGAACGCUGGCGGCAUGCCUAACACAUGCAAGUCGAACGAGACCUUCGGGUCUAGUGGCGCACGGGUGCGUAACGCGUGGGAACCUGCCUUUAGGUUCGGGAUAACAGUUGGAAACGACUGCUAAUACCGGAUGAUGUCUUCGGACCAAAGAUUUAUCGCCUUUAGAUGGGCCCGCGUUGGAUUAGCUAGUUGGUGGGGUAAUGGCCUACCAAGGCGACGAUCCAUAGCUGGUCUGAGAGGAUGAUCAGCCACACUGGGACUGAGACACGGCCCAGACUCCUACGGGAGGCAGCAGUGGGGAAUAUUGGACAAUGGCGCAAGCCUGAUCCAGCCAUGCCGCGUGAGUGAUGAA